rnacentral:lncRNA from 1 species
AACAUACGAAACUGCAAAUGGAUUUUCACCUAUCAUAUGGUACGUAAUCCGCAUAGACAGGUUAUUCCGACAUAUUAAAGGAUGAAUACAAAAAAUAGUAUUCCGUAUGAAUACGAAAGAAAUAAUACCCCUUACCUUAGUAGAAGGCUGGAUACUGAAAUAGUGAAGUAGCAGAAUACUCUUCUUCUCUCUAUAGUGUCUCUUGUGAAUCUCAGUGAAUUGGUGAGAAUGAAAGAAGAAUCAAGCUUUUAUUUAUAGGAGAAUGGACUAAAUAGUAACUAAUUCACGAACGGUCCAGAUUGAUUUACUAUUAGAACGGACGGUUCAUAUUGAUUACUAUUAAAACCACAACCGACGGUCUAGAUUGAUUUACUUUUAAAACCACCACCGACGG